AAGUCGUAACAAGGUUUCCGUAGGUGAACCUGCGGAAGGAUCAUUAUUGAAUGAACUUGGUCGGGCUGAUGCUGGUCUCUCCUUGGAGGGGCAUGUGCACGCCUGGCACCAUCUUCUUUUACCACCUGUGCACCUUUUGUAGACUGUGGGGACUACCUUUCCGAGGUCAAACUCGGUUGAAAGGAUUGCUGAUGCCAGCUUUCCUUUGCCUGUCUUCUUGUCUAUGCCUUUUUUUUUUUAUCACAAAUGUAUGACAAUGAAUGUUAUGUUGGGCAUUAUUGCCUUUAAAAACCUAAUACAACUUUCAACAACGGAUCUCUUGGCUCUCGCAUCGAUGAAGAACGCAGCGAAAUGCGAUAAGUAAUGUGAAUUGCAGAAUUCAGUGAAUCAUCGAAUCUUUGAACGCACCUUGCGCUCCUUGGUAUUCCGAGGAGCAUGCCUGUUUGAGUAUCAUGAAAUUCUCAACCUUGCUUUUGCAUCUGUGAAAUCAAGGUUGGAUUGUGGGGGACCUUUUUGCAGGCUUCAAAUCGAAGUCUGCUCUCCUGAAAUAUAUUAGCAGAGUUGCAUGAACAGCUUUUUAUUGGUGUGAUAAUCAUCUAUGCCAUGGGCUGUGAAAGCGAGUUUGCCUUCCAAUUUUAACAUCCGUUAUUCAUGACUCUUUGAUCUCAAAUCAGGUAGGACUACCCGCUGAACUUAAGCAUAUCAAUAAGCGGAGGAAAAGAAACUAACAAGGAUUCCCCUAGUAACUGCGAGUGAAGCGGGAAGAGCUCAAAUUUAAAAUCUGGCGGUCCUCUGAGCUGUCCGAGUUGUAAUCUAGAGAA
rnacentral:misc_RNA from 1 species